CGGGUGAGUAUCGCGUGGGUAAUCUACCUUGAGGUGGGGGAUAGCCUCGGGAAACCGAGGAUAAUACCGCAUACGUCCUUAACGUCAUAAGGCGACGAGGGGAAAGGCGGGGCUCCUUCGGGACCUGUCGCCUCUGGAUGAGCCCGCGUCCGAUUAGCUUGUUGGUGAGGUAAUGGCUCACCAAGGCUUCGAUCGGUAGCCGGCCUGAGAGGGUGAACGGCCACAUUGGGACUGAGACACGGCCCAG
rnacentral:rRNA from 1 species